AGCCUGGUGUAGUGGUUUAAGCAUUAGACUACAGCUCUAGACAUCAGGGUUCGAUUUCCUGCUGGGCCA